rnacentral:piRNA from 1 species
UGAGCAUUUAGUGUGAGCCAGUGACCC